rnacentral:rRNA from 1 species
CCUACGGGUGGCUGCAGUGGGGAAUAUUGGACAAUGGGGGCAACCCUGAUCCAGCCAUGCCGCGUGUGUGAAGAAGGCCCUCGGGUUGUAAAGCACUUUCAGUGAGGAAGAACGCCUGGUGGUUAAUACCCAUCAGGAAAGACAUCACUCACAGAAGAAGCACCGGCUAACUCCGUGCCAGCAGCCGCGGUAAUACGGAGGGUGCGAGCGUUAAUCGGAAUUACUGGGCGUAAAGCGCGCGUAGGUGGCUUGAUAAGCCGGUUGUGAAAGCCCCGGGCUCAACCUGGGAACGGCAUCCGGAACUGUCAAGCUAGAGUGCAGGAGAGGAAGGUAGAAUUCCCGGUGUAGCGGUGAAAUGCGUAGAGAUCGGGAGGAAUACCAGUGGCGAAGGCGGCCUUCUGGACUGACACUGACACUGAGGUGCGAGAGCGUGGGUAGCAAACAGGAGUAGAUAUCCGAGUAGGC